GUGCUUGCUUUGGCAGCACAUGUACUAAAUUUGUAAUGAUGGAGAAGAUUAACAUGGCCCUGUGCAAGGAUGACAUGCAAAUUUAUGAAGCAUUCCAUAUUUGG